AGUGAACGCUGGCGGUAGGCCUAACACAUGCAAGUCGAACGGCAGCACAGUAAGAGCUUGCUCUUACGGGUGGCGAGUGGCGGACGGGUCAGGAAUACAUCGGACUCUACUUUUUCGUGGGGGAUAACGUAGGGAAACUUACGCUAAUACAGCAUACGCCCUACGGGUGAAAGCAUGGGAUUUUCGGACCUUGCGCGAUUGAAUGAGCCGAUGUCGGAUUAGCUAGUUGGCGGGGUAAUGGCCCACCAAGGCGGAGAUCCGUAGCUGGUCUGAGAGGAGGGUCAGCCACACUGGAAGUGAGACACGGUCCUGAGUCCUACGGGAGGCAGCAGUGGGGAAUAUUGGACAAUGGGCGCAAGCCUUAUCCAGCCAUACCGCGUGUGUGAAGAAGGCCUUCGGGUUGUAAAGCCCUUUUGUUGGGAAAGAAAAGCAGCAGGUUAAUACCCCGCUGUUCUGACGGUACCCAAAGAAUAAGCACCGGCUAACUUCGUG
rnacentral:rRNA from 1 species